ensembl:lncRNA
AUGAAUCAUUAUACCGGCUUCGUUAGGCCUAAACUGAUGUCACUGCCAACUGAAGCUCCUCUGAUAAUACAGAACGUUACCAGUUAUCCUUCAAACUACACCUCCAGUCCUCCAGUGUCUGGAUGCUCCACGGCUGCUCAAUCCAGACUGAAUGUCUUCUCAGCAAGACAGAAAUACCCAUGCAGUCCGAGCGUUGUAGAUUCAAGGGAUCUAAAUCCUCACAGUGUCAACUCUAUUACUGAAGGGCCUCUGGUUCCAUUGUUAGCCAAAAAUUGCUCAGUAGUCACCAACCGUACCUCACAAAGACAUGUGUCUGACAGUGAUAUAUCUGACCGUCAUUUCUUAUUUGAUAAACGAUGGAGAAAUGGAACUUACAUCACUAAUGAUGAUGUUCUGAUGAACCACAACUCUACAAAUCCACUCUCUCAGGAGUUCCAUGUUUCUCGCUCUCAUAAUUUAACCAGAUUUGCCCACCGCAAAGAACUCUGCCCGCGCGACCCAAGACCACUUAUUUGCGGGUCUGAUUAUCUGACCUCAUUUCCAUCAGUUCUGUUACCAGCCUCUACCCUGUCUAUCAGUGGACGACUCUGUAUAACACAAAACUAUAAAAACGGAUUAAGGAUAAAAAACAGAGCACACGAUCUCUUCUCUGAUGGUGCCAACAACAAAACCUGUGGGCCGGUAAUUGUUUUUCAGCCCAAUCGUACCCUGAUCCACAUCUGGGUGCCUCUGCCUCUUUUGUUCAGAGGCUCACAGAGAUUUCCUCUCUGGAAGCAGAGACAGUACGGCAGGAGAGGAUGAAGAGACUCAAAAAGAUCAAUAGGCAGGACUCUUAAUCGGAGUUCAUUAGCCAAAGAGGAAACACUUGACUCCUGAAAUCACAACUGUGCCAAGAUGGAGUAAAUAAAGUCAAGGAGAAAAACUUGAGAG